UCUAUCGAUUCCGGUCACCGGCGCCGCAAUUCUGGCCUACUGCCGGCGACGGCUCCUCCGAUGAGACACCCAUACAACAUCCUUCUUCUUUAUAACACCCCCCUCUCGUUCCUUUUCCAUCAAGUUAACUCCAACCGUUUUUCCGAUGAUGAUUGUUGAUGAUGAUGAUUGAGGUGAGGUGUUUGUUCAAGGAACAACAUUUCUGGUGGGUACCAAGAGUUCAGGGCUGUCGGAGCAAUGUUUCAGGUGUCUGGAUGCGACGGCGGCACGACGGCGGUGGUGGUGAUGCCGGAUCACUCCGGUGGUGGUGCCUGAUCGCUCCUGUAGUGGUCUCCCCAAAGCAUCCGAGGUGGUGGUGCGGCGUGGGUCACGACAGACACACCGGACCACCGUGGGGCGGCAGCCGGCGACAGUGGUGCCGGUGACGGUGAUGGUGGUGAUGUUCGACUCGGGCUUCAGUUCGGGACUCAGGUCUCGGUUCAGUUCAUGCUUCAUUUCGGGUUUAGUUCGCGUUCGGUACAGGAUCGGUUCGGGUUCAGGUCGAACCCGGUCAACACUAGGUUAAACCUGGUCAAAGUCAGAUUUGCUUGGUUUGGGUCAGAUUUAGCACGGGUCAAACAUGGUCAAACAGUCAAGCCGGGUCAAAUGUGGUCAUGGAUGGUCACCAUGAGUCAACUCAGUUAACACGGGUUAAACCCGGUCAACUGUCUGGUCAACGGAUAAUCUGAGACUCGGUAAAUUAUUACGACGUAAAAAUUUAUAUUUCAUUAGUUAUAAAUAUCGUAUAAUCGUGAAACCGAGCUCGACCCGACUAACUAACGUUAUACAUUUAGUGAUUUUGUUUCA